CUUGAUUUUGACUUUUAUCCUACAUGGAUAACUGUGGUAAUUCUGGAGCUAAUACAUGCAUAAAAGAUGUUUCUUUAUUGAAACAUUGCGUAUAUUAGUAUUAAAACCAAGCAUUCUUCGGAAUGUUUUGUGUUGAAACUGAAUAUAUCUGCUGAUCGUAUGGUCUUGUACCGACGACAUGUCAUUCAAGUGUCUGAUCUAUCAACUUUCUAUAUAAGUAUAUAGUACUUAUAUGGUUUUGACGGAUAACGGGGUAUUAGGGUACGACUCCGGAGAAAAUGCCUGAGAAACGGCGUUUACAUCCAAGGAAGGCAGCAGGCGCGAAAAUUACCCACUCUCAGUACGAGGAGGUAGUGACGAGAAAUGACAAGAUCUAUUCCUUCGGGGAUGGAUCAUUGGAAUGGUUUGAUUUUAAAAUCAUCAAAGAGUAUCAAUGAGAGGGCAAGUCUGGUGCCAGCAGCCGCGGUAAUUCCAGCUCUCAUACUGCAUUGAAUUGUUGUUGCGGUUAAAAAGCUCGUAGUUGGAUCUGUACAUGAUAGGUUAGUUUAUUCUUUACGGAAUAUAACUAAUACUAAAUGUUUUUUGUUAGAUUUUUUUAUGGUUCGUAAGGAUCAUAAAAUGUCUAACGAGUUUACUUCGAAUAAAUCAGAGUGCUCAAAACAGGCGUAAGCUUGUAUGGUUUUGCAUGGAAUAAUAGAACAUGACUAUGGUUCAUGUUUUAUUGGUUUUACUUACCAUAGUAAUGAUUAAAAGGAACAAACGGGGGCAUCCGUAUCGCAGGGCGAGAGGUGAAAUUCGUGGACCCUUGCGAGACGAACUCCAGCGAAAGCAUUUGCCAAGAAUG
rnacentral:rRNA from 1 species